rnacentral:misc_RNA from 1 species
GUAGGUGAACCUGCGGAAGGAUCAUUACAGUAGUCACCCGGGGCGCCGCAGGGCCUCCCAGGUAACCUACCACCCUUUGUUUAUUACACUUUGUUGCUUUGGCAGGCCUGCCCUCGGGCUGCUGGCUCCGGCCGGCGAGCGCUUGCCAGAGGACCUAAACUCCGUUUGUCUAUACUGUCUGAGUACUAUAUAAUAGUUAAAACUUUCAACAACGGAUCUCUUGGUUCUGGCAUCGAUGAAGAACGCAGCA